GGGAAAAGGAAGUUAAAGCCUGGACUCCACUGCCCUGGAGCCCAUCGCUGUCUUCUGUGCUGAACGAGCUGCCCAGUGCUGCCACCCUUCGGUACCGAGACCCUGGGGUGCUGCCUUGGGGGGCGCUGGAGGAGGAGGAGGAGGAUGGAGGAAGGAGCAGAAAGGCCUUCACAGAAGUCACCCAGACAGAGCUGCAGGACCCUCACCCUUCCCGGGAACUGCCCUGGCCCAUGCAGGCCAGACGGGCAUACAGGCAAAGAAAUGCCAGCAGGGACCAGGUGGUCUAUGGCUCUGGAACUAAGACGGACCGAUGGGCGCGGCUACUUCGGAGGUCCAAGGAGAAAACAAAGGAAGGCUUGCGAAGCCUGCAGCCCUGGGCGUGGACACUGAAGAGGAUCGGGGGCCAGUUUGGCGCCGGCACGGAGUCCUACUUCUCCCUGCUGCGCUUCCUGCUCCUUCUUAACGUGCUGGCCUCUGUGCUCAUGGCCUGCAUGACGCUGCUGCCCACCUGGUUGGGAGGCGCUCCCCCAGGCCCUCCCGGCCCCGACAUCUCCUCGCCCUGCGGCUCCUAUAACCCCCACUCCCAGGGCCUGGUCACCUUUGCCACCCAGCUCUUCAACUUGCUCUCGGGUGAGGGUUACCUGGAAUGGUCCCCUCUCUUCUAUGGCUUCUACCCGCCCCGCCCACGCCUGGCGGUCACCUACCUGUGCUGGGCCUUUGCCGUUGGCCUCAUCUGCCUCCUGCUCAUCCUGCAUCGGUCAGUG
rnacentral:misc_RNA from 1 species